UACGUAGGGUGCGAGCGUUAAUCGGAAUUACUGGGCGUAAAGCGUGCGCAGGCGGUUGUGCAAGACAGAUGUGAAAGCCCCGGGCUCAACCUGGGAAUGGCAUUUGUGACUGCACGGCUAGAGUGUGUCAGAGGGGGGUAGAAUUCCACGUGUAGCAGUGAAAUGCGUAGAGAUGUGGAGGAAUACCGAUGGCGAAGGCAGCCCCCUGGGAUGACACUGACGCUCAUGCACGAAAGCGUGGGGAGCAAACAGG
rnacentral:rRNA from 1 species